rnacentral:rRNA from 1 species
UUCCAGCUCCAAUAGCGUAUAUUAAAGUUGUUGCAGUUAAAAAGCUCGUAGUUGAACCUUGGGUCUGGCUGGCCGGUCCGCCUCACCGCGAGUACUGGUCCGGCUGGACCUUUCCUUCUGGGGAACCUCAUGGCCUUCACUGGCUGUGGGGGGAACCAGGACUUUUACUGUGAAAAAAUUAGAGUGUUCAAAGCAGGCCUUUGCUCGAAUACAUUAGCAUGGAAUAAUAGAAUAGGACGUGCGGUUCUAUUUUGUUGGUUUCUAGGACCGCCGUAAUGAUUAAUAGGGAUAGUCGGGGGCGUCAGUAUUCAGCUGUCAGAGGUGAAAUUCUUGGAUUUGCUGAAGACUAACUACUGCGAAAGCAUUCGCCAAGGAUGUUUUCAUUAAUCAGGGAACGAAAGUUAGGGGAUCGAAGACGAUCAGAUACCGUCGUAGUCUUAACCAUAAACUAUGCCGACUAGGGAUCGGGCGGUGUUUCUAUGAUGACCCGCUCGGCACCUUACGAGAAAUCAAAGUUUUUGGGUUCUGGGGGGAGUAUGGUCGCAAGGCUGAAACUUAAAGAAAUUGACGGAAGGGCACCACAAGGCGUGGAGCCUGCGGCUUAAU